rnacentral:rRNA from 1 species
GACGAACGCUGGCGGCGUGCUUAACACAUGCAAGUCGAACGGAAGGGCCCUGCUUUUGUGGGGUGCUCGAGUGGCGAACGGGUGAGUAACACGUGAGUAACCUGCCCUUGACUUUGGGAUAACUUCAGGAAACUGGGGCUAAUACCGGAUAGGAGCUCCUGCUGCAUGGUGGGGGUUGGAAAGUUUCGGCGGUUGGGGAUGGACUCGCGGCUUAUCAGCUUGUUGGUGGGGUAGUGGCUUACCAAGGCUUUGACGGGUAGCCGGCCUGAGAGGGUGACCGGCCACAUUGGGACUGAGAUACGGCCCAGACUCCUACGGGAGGCAGCAGUGGGGAAUAUUGCACAAUGGGCGGAAGCCUGAUGCAGCAACGCCGCGUGCGGGAUGACGGCCUUAGGGUUGUAAACCGCUUUCGCCUGUGACGAAGCGUGAGUGACGGUAAUGGGUAAAGAAGCACCGGCUAACUACGUG